CGACUACGAGUUUGAUCAUGGCUCAGAUUGAACGCUGGCGGCAUGCUUUACACAUGCAAGUCGAACGGUAACAGGGAGCUUGCUCCGCUGACGAGUGGCGAACGGGUGAGUAAUGCAUCGGAACGUGCCGUGUAGUGGGGGAUAACGUAGCGAAAGUUACGCUAAUACCGCAUACGCCCCGAGGGGGAAAGUGGGGGACCGCAAGGCCUCACGCUAUACGAGCGGCCGAUGUCGGAUUAGCUAGUUGGUAGGGUAAAGGCCUACCAAGGCGACGAUCCGUAGCGGGUCUGAGAGGAUGAUCCGCCACACUGGGACUGAGACACGGCCCAGACUCCUACGGGAGGCAGCAGUGGGGAAUUUUGGACAAUGGGCGCAAGCCUGAUCCAGCCAUGCCGCGUGAGUGAAGAAGGCCUUCGGGUUGUAAAGCUCUUUCAGACGGAAAGAAAUCGGUGCGUUUAAUACACGCACUGGAUGACGGUACCGUAAGAAGAAGCACCGGCUAACUACGUG
rnacentral:rRNA from 1 species